ACUCUAAUAGUUUAUUAAAACAU
rnacentral:tRNA from 1 species